rnacentral:rRNA from 1 species
GAUGAACGCUGGCGGCGUGCCUAAUACAUGCAAGUCGAGCGAACAGAUGAGGAGCUUGCUCCUCUGACGUUAGCGGCGGACGGGUGAGUAACACGUGGAUAACCUACCUAUAAGACUGGGAUAACUUCGGGAAACCGGAGCUAAUACCGGAUAAUAUAUUGAACCGCAUGGUUCAAUAGUGAAAGACGGUUUUGCUGUCACUUAUAGAUGGAUCCGCGCCGCAUUAGCUAGUUGGUAAGGUAACGGCUUACCAAGGCAACGAUGCGUAGCCGACCUGAGAGGGUGAUCGGCCACACUGGAACUGAGACAAGGUCCAGAAUCCUACGGGAGGCAGCAGUAGGGAAUCUUCCGCAAAGGGCGAAAGCCUGACGGAGCAACGCCGCGUGAGUGAUGAAGGUCUUCGGAUCGUAAAACUCUGUUAUUAGGGAAGAACAAAUGUGUAAGUAACUAUGCACGUCUUGACGGUACCUAAUCAGAAAGCCACGGCUAACUACGUG